UGGGGAAUAUUGCACAAUGGGCGCAAGCCUGAUGCAGCGACGCCGCGUGGGGGAUGACGGCCUUCGGGUUGUAAACUCCUUUCGCCAGGGACGAAGCGUUUUGUGACGGUACCUGGAGAAGAAGCACCGGCUAACUACGUGCCAGCAGCCGCGGUAAUACGUAGGGUGCAAGCGUUGUCCGGAAUUACUGGGCGUAAAGAGCUCGUAGGUGGUUUGUCACGUCGUCUGUGAAAUUCCACAGCUUAACUGUGGGCGUGCAGGCGAUACGGGCUGACUUGAGUACUGUAGGGGUAACUGGAAUUCCUGGUGUAGCGGUGAAAUGCGCAGAUAUCAGGAGGAGCACCGAUGGCGAAGGCAGGUUACUGGGCAGUUACUGACGCUGAGGAGCGAAAGCAUGGGUAGCAAACAGGAUUAGAUACCCUGGUAGUCCAUGCCGUAAACGGUGGGCGCUAGGUGUAGGGGCCUUUUGGGGUUUCUGUGCCGUAGCUAACGCAUUAAGCGCCCCGCCUGGGGAGUACGGCCGCAAGGCUA
rnacentral:rRNA from 1 species